AACGCACCUUGCGCCUCUUGGUAUUCCGAGGGGCAUGCCUGUUUGAGUGUCAUUGAAUCCUCAAAAGAAAAGCUUAACUGCUUUCUCUUUUGGAAUUGGAGCGUGCUGGCCUUCUGUUUAGGAAGCCCAGCUCCUCUGAAAUACAUUAGCGAUGUGACAUCCGCAUGGCACCACGCUUCUCCGGCAUUGAUAGUAUCUUCAUGCCUGAGCGUGUUGUGCAGCUGUGGAAAGUUUUGCUCGCUCAUAGCUUGAUGGGGUCAGCCCAUCCUUUGACCAAUUUAACCUCAAAUCAGGUAGGAUUACCCGCUGAACUUAA
rnacentral:misc_RNA from 1 species